CUUUUUUGUUGUCUUUUUUUUGUCUUCCUUUUUCUUCUUUUUCUUCUUAUCUUUCUUGCUACUCUUACUGGGAUAGUCCGUGGGAGAUGGGGAUUGAGUGGGAAAUGGGGAUUGAGUGGGAAAUGGAGUCUUCUUAUCCUUCUUGCUACUCUUUAAAAUACGGACCAAUUCAUGGUGAAAGA
rnacentral:ribozyme from 17 species